UUAGGUACCCAUUUAUUCCGACGCAAACUUUGCUAUGGUGGCUGCUUGAGUACUACGAGUGCUUAAAACUCAAAGAAUUUGGCGGCUCGUUAACUACCUAGGGGAAUAUGUGCCUUAAUCCGAUGUUACCCGUUGUAUCUUACUGCGCCUUGAAAAAGAACAGUUGGUGUAUUGCCGUUGUCAGCUUGUUGUGGAGCAAAAGUAACAGGCUUGGUGGGAUUAUAACCCAUGAAUUCAGGUCGAAAUGCUGCCUAUGGUGCAAGGGAGUAGGUGUUACAAUUUUGAGUUAAAAUAACGGAUCUCGAAGUUCGGAAGGUGGACUUAGGAGUAAGUGAGGAUUAGCAUGCCCCUCUGAACUGAAUCUAACUUGUGUACAAACCGCCCGUCGCUCUCGCC
rnacentral:rRNA from 1 species